rnacentral:tRNA from 1 species
GGAUAUGGUUUAAUGGAAAAACAUCACAUUGUGGUUGUGAAAAUCCGGGUUCGAUUCCCAGUA